AGUGAACGCUGGCGGUAGGCCUAACACAUGCAAGUCGAACGGCAGCACAGUAAGAGCUUGCUCUUACGGGUGGCGAGUGGCGGACGGGUGAGGAAUACAUCGGAAUCUACUUUUUCGUGGGGGUUAACGUAGGGAAACUUACGCUAAUACCGCAUACGACCUACGGGUGAAAGCAGGGGAUCUUCGGACCUUGCGCGAUUGAAUGAGCGGAUGUCGGAUUAGCUAGUUGGCGGGGUAAAGGCCCACCAAGGCGAGGAUCCGUAGCUGGUCUGAGAGGAGGAUAGGCCACAUUGGAACUGAGACACGGUCCAGACUCCUACGGGAGGCAGCAGUGGGGAAUAUUGGACAAUGGGCGCAAGCCUGAUCCAGCCAGACCGCGUGGGUGAAGAAGGCCUUCGGGUUGUAAAGCCCUUUUGUUGGGAAAGAAAAGCAGCAGGUUAAUACCCCGCUGUUCUGACGGUACCCAAAGAAUAAGCACCGGCUAACUUCGUG
rnacentral:rRNA from 1 species